GAAAGAGAAAGCGGAACAGUACGCUAGGGAAAGUAACACCGGAAAUCGCGUGACCUCUAAGGUCUUCGAUUGCAUUCGUCUCUUGCUUUCUAACGCAGGCGUGUGCAAAUACCGAGGUUCACUCAGGAGAUUUGCCAGAUAUUGCAUUCGGUGCACUCGCAAAUACUUCAGUACAAUGUACAGGAUGGUCCAUUGUUGCAUACGUGGUGUCAUUCAUUCGAUGCUAAUGCACCUUUCUGUAAAACAUAUUCUUGGGAACCACCUUGUAUAUUCUUGUGCGUGUGUCUAUACAUAGCCAGGGUUACCAUGUUUUAGGAGAAGUUAUCCAGGACAUUUCGUGAAACAUUAACUACAAUCAACAAAGUUAAUUUUACUGUAAACAUCCUCGAUUCUAAUCAGUUCCAACUUUUACAGAAACUUUAGUAUCCUGGAGGUCUGGCAAUCUUAAUUAGCUUCCCACAACGUUCCCCUCGAGAUCGUUUGAAACAGGUUGUGUAGAGUAUAUCUAACAGUGCUGUGUGUCUACAUACAGAUACCUCAAGAUACACAAAUAUAUCUAAGUGUCCAAGAUCAAAGCUCGAGAUCCUACAACGCUGUAAAUGGGGUACUCAUGGGGAUACCACAUACCAGUGUACGGUGACAAAGAAGUCUUUACCGGACUUCCACAAUGCGGACUGGAGGAUCUUUUCCCGGCUGCUUAGUGAUCAAGGUUGCGUCAAAGAAACAAAAAUCAAAGUUCCUCCAGUUUGUUAAUAUGUAAGCUUUCUCGCCACAGCCUUGACUGCAGUGGUACAUCCAGGACGACAACACAACGGUGCGCCAAACACCGAUUCUAGCUAAUGAGAAUUCCUAUCAUUAUAGUUACCACGGAAAAAUAUCAAAAGUAUUUGUCUGCCUAAGUUUUGGUCUUUAUCUGUACGUUUCCUAAAUUAUAUAUUUUGGAGUAAUA